UCCCUGGUGGCCUAGCGGUUAAGGUUCCAGCAUUGUCACUGCUGUGGCUCAGGUUCAAUCCCUGGCCCAGGAA
rnacentral:tRNA from 1 species